rnacentral:rRNA from 1 species
GAUGAACGCUGGCGGCGCGCCUAAUACAUGCAAGUCGAGCGAACAGACGAGGAGCUUGCUCCUUCGACGUUAGCGGCGGACGGGUGAGUAACACGUAGGUAACCUACCUAUAAGACUGGGAUAACUUCGGGAAACCGGAGCUAAUACCGGAUAAUAUUUCGAACCGCAUGGUUCGAUAGUGAAAGAUGGCUUUGCUAUCACUUAUAGAUGGACCUGCGCCGUAUUAGCUAGUUGGUAAGGUAACGGCUUACCAAGGCAACGAUACGUAGCCGACCUGAGAGGGUGAUCGGCCACACUGGAACUGAGACACGGUCCAGACUCCUACGGGAGGCAGCAGUAGGGAAUCUUCCGCAAUGGGCGAAAGCCUGACGGAGCAACGCCGCGUGAGUGAUGAAGGUCUUCGGAUCGUAAAACUCUGUUAUUAGGGAAGAACAAACGUGUAAGUAACUGUGCACGUCUUGACGGUACCUAAUCAGAAAGCCACGGCUAACUACGUG